CCUACGGGUGGCAGCAGUGGGGAAUAUUGCACAAUGGGCGAAAGCCUGAUGCAGCAACGCCGCGUGAAGGAAGAAGGGUUUCGGCUCGUAAACUUCUAUCAACAGGGACGAAAGAAAUGACGGUACCUGAAUAAGAAGCCCCGGCUAACUACGUGCCAGCAGCCGCGGUACUACGUAGGGGGCAAGCGUUAUCCGGGAGUACUGGGUGUAAAGGGUGAGUAGGCGGCAGGGUAAACCAGAUGUGAAAGCCUUGGGCUUAACCCGAGGAUUGCAUUUGGAACUAGCAAGCUAGAGUACAGGAGAGGAUAGCUGGAUUCCUAGUGUAGCGGUGAAAAGCGUAGAUAUUAAGGAGGACACCAGAGGCGGAGGCGGCUUUAUGGACUGAAACUGACGCUGAGGCACGAAAGCGUGGGGAGCGAACAGGAAUAGAUACCCCUGGUAGUC
rnacentral:rRNA from 1 species